CUAAUUUUUGCGAUUUCUAUUGUUUAAUGUAAAUUUGUCUUUUUAGGAUAUGUCGAGCCAACAAAGAAGGCGCAGUUGGAAAAUUUAGUAAUUAGUAAUGAAGUAGCAGGCAUAUUUGGAAAAUUAUGCCGAUAAACAGGAUGGAAUUUGGGAAAAAAUGUUAUAAAUCGAGUGGCUCAUUUACGAUGUGCUCCAAACAUUUGGCGAACUUUUUUUCGCCUUUUCAACGUGCUAAGUAACAAGUUAAGAUGACUGCCAUCAUGGGCCGGUAAGAAACCGCAAGCAAAGGGCAGACAACCUUCCAGGAAGCUGCCUCCUGUCCCCGAGCCGAAGCUGCAGUUCAGCAAGAGCAGGUCAGCAAAUUGCUACCCUGAUCAAACGUAAACUAAAGCGCUCUGCUAUGAUUGCACUCCGCCGUGAGAUGGUGUAACGAUGUGUGGCAAAGAAAUGCGGCCAAUUCGACGGGCCUGAAAAAUCCAAAUUGGCUUUUGUGAUCCGCAUCCGCGGUAUCAACAAAGUUGCACAAAAAGUGCGUAGUUUUACAGUUCUGUCUUCGCCACAUUAAAACGGUGUGUU